rnacentral:rRNA from 1 species
UACGUAGGUGGCAAGCGUUGUCCGGAAUUAUUGGGCGUAAAGCGCGCGCAGGCGGUUUCUUAAGUCUGAUGUGAAAGCCCACGGCUUAACCGUGGAGGGUCAUUGGAAACUGGGAGACUUGGGUGCAGAAGAGAAGAGCGGAAUUCCACGUGUAGCGGUGAAAUGCGUAGAGAUGUGGAGGAACACCAGUGGCGAAGGCGGCUCUUUGGUCUGUAACUGACGCUGAGGCGCGAAAGCGUGGGGAUCAAACAGG